rnacentral:lncRNA from 1 species
GUCAAGGAUGACUUUUAAUUUUCCAGUUUAGGUUUACUCUCUGACACAGGGAAUUCCUUGUUUUCGACCAGAUAACCACGAGGUGGGGGUGGGGGUGGGAGCGCUGGCCUUCCUCGGUGCGAACGCGGCCACCGCAUCUGUUGUAACGAAUAUUCCCCGCAGCCUUUGUUCACAACGGCGAAGUCCAAAGCAUUUAAAGUGAGGAGGAAGCACUGCCCGGUGUGGGGGCGAGCUUUCGUUUGAGUCUCUACAAUCAGCGUCCCGGUUUCCGUGUCCCUCACGACUUCGCGAAAGUAGGUGAAUGUGAGGCCCGAGCCCACGCUGUGAUUGCAGGUUCACUAGCCGGGCAAGCAAAAAAGUUCUCGUCUCCCUCUGGAAGCAGGCACACGCCUUCCAAGCCAGACCACGUGUCGCAGGUACAACGUAUUUUGGCUCUUCC